rnacentral:rRNA from 1 species
UACAGAGGGGGGCAAGCGUUGUUCGGAAUUACUGGGCGUAAAGGGCGCGUAGGCGGCCUGCUAAGUCGAACGUGAAAUCCCUGGGCUCAACCCAGGAACUGCGUCCGAUACUGGUUGGCUUGAAUCCGGGAGAGGGAUGUGGAAUUCCAGGUGUAGCGGUGAAAUGCGUAGAUAUCUGGAGGAACACCGAAGGCGAAGGCAGGUGACUGGACCGUUAUUGACGCUGAGUCGCGAAAGCCGGGGGGAGCAAACAGG